rnacentral:rRNA from 1 species
GACGAACGCUGGCGGCGUGCCUAACACAUGCAAGUCGAACGAGAACGUCGUGUCUAUUGGCGCACGUGGGCUUGAGGCGGGGGAAGCAACCCGUAGGUUACGAAUAACUGACUGAGGGGUGUCUUAAUACCGGAUGAGCUCUUAGGACCAAAGAUCUAUCGCCGUUGGAUGGGCGCGGGUUGGAUUAGCUAGUUGGUAGGGUACAAGCCGAUCAAGGGGACGAUCCAUAGCUGGUCUGAUAGGAUGAUACGUCACACUGGGACUGAGACACGGACCAGAACCCUACGCGAGGCAGCAGUGGGUAAUACUGGACACUGGGCGCAAGUCUGAUCACGCAAUGCCGCGUGAGUGAUGAAGGCCGUAGGGUUGUAAAGCUCUUUUACCCGGGAUGAUAAUGACAGUACCGGGAGAAUAAGCUCCGGCUAACUCCGUG